CUUCUAUCUCUCUCUUUCAGGUGAGUUGUUGUCUUCUCCUCCCUGUUUUCUUUUGCUCAUUUUUUAAUUUUAUUUUAAUCCUGUGGUUUCAGUGAAAAUACACCGUAUGUAGGGAUAGUUUUGCGGUGCAUGUGUUCUGAUCCUGCUUCAAGAUAAAAAUUCCAGGUAUGAUUUUCUCUGAUUUUCAGAAUGUCUGUGCUGUAUGUCUUAGCUUGAUGGUAUACGAAUUUUAUAAUUUUGUUUUUUGAUUCUCUUCAUUUAUGACAUUGUCACUGAUUUUUAUUGCUGGUUUAAAUUUCAGAUGUCUAUUUUAUUAAAUUAUUACCGAUGCUUUUGUUUGAUUUUGUGGGUUAUUCAGCAAAUUAUUGCAUCAUUGUAGUGUCGCCAUUACUAGUCUUCCCUUCUUUUGUUGAUCAGUCUUCUCAAUUGUGAAACUAAUGUUCUUAUCCCUUUUUCUUGAAAUUAAAAUACGCUGGAGAGUUAAAUAUUGGAGAAACAAGUACAAAUCAGAAAUUUGUGGGGAAAGAAAGUUGUAGUACAUGAACUAAAAAUACAAUCUUGAUUAAUCGACGUUUUUAUUUGUAAUGCAGCAAGUACAUACUUACUUGGAGAUUGAAGAUGACUUGCAUAUUACUAUAUAUCUUAAACUUGCCAGUUUUUAUACUUUAGAAGAUUUUAAAAGCAAUGCAUUUUAAUAUUUAAUACGCUUCAAUACCAAAUAAUUUUUAUCCAUUUAGUUGGAAUAUAAUGGACAAUUUUGGUUGACAGAUUUUCAAAAGUGAAAGUUGCUCAAGCUGGGGAGGAAGGACCAUUGCUUUGACUGUCACAAAGCUAAUGACAAAAAGUAUGUUGGCUGCAGGAAGAAGAAGAAGUCUUCAACAAUGCUUUCAUUUGGGCCUUUGCAUUCAAGAUAGUGCACGGAUAUGAAUACAAAGUCUCCUCUAUGUGUCUGGGUGAGAGAAAGCGGAUGUGGGCUGUCAAACAGAG